ACCUCCCACAUAGGGUCACCCGCUACAGUCGAUCCAGAUGACCUUUGGAAGACACGGGGUCUUGCUAUAUUGCACAGACUGGUUUCCUGGACUUAAACAAUCCUCCGGCCUCAGCCUCUCAAAGUGCUGGGAUUACAAGCAUGAGCCACCACACCCAGCCCAGAAGGAGAUUUUCAUUGAGUGAAUGAAAUUCCACAGUGAACACUUAUACUUCAUCCGUUGACUCUAGAUGACACUGAACCUCACGAUAGGAAACUUUCAGUGUGAGAUGGAUCAUCUCGUUUCAAAGAGCAAAGAACUGAUCCCUGAAAAGACUGAGAGAAGUUGUGACAAGCCGUUCUCUCAAACGAUGUUUCCAGUGGCAUUUUCAAGAAAAUGCGGAGGGAAGCCCAUGAAGCCCAAGACUCCCGCCCAGCUGGAGGCUGCCUGCCUUUGCUUGUAACCUCCAUCAGGGCACCGUGCCUGACCAUACCUGCCUGCAAAGGCUCUAGGGCUUGCAGGAUCUCUGGAACUGCUGAACUGAGAUGUGGGUCUCAACCAUGUGGGUUUGGUUCUGCCUUCUCCAUGCUCGGACUAGAUCUCUUUCUAGACGCAAACCUAACUUCCCCUGUGAUGCCACAUGCACUGGGCCAGGGCUUGUUGCAAACUCCAUAGUUGUGUUUCCUGGACCACCCACUCAGUAGCAUCCCAGACAGUGAACCAGAGCCCUAAUUGGGCCUGGAAAUCACUGGAAGAGAAAUAAAAGAGGAUUAAGCUGGGAUUACUCUUCUUUCUUAUUUACCACUCCCUGAGAGCUCUUCUUCCCCAGCCUCUCCAGCUGGCCUCUCUUCACAACUGAAACUACCAACCCCCUCUGCCCCCCAUCAUAUAGCAUUAGCCCUACUCCAAUCUUUCUAGAAAGUUCUUGUUCUGGAGUCCAGAACGAAUACAGAUAUUGAAUAAGGCAUAUUUUGGAGAUCAGGACCCAGUAGGAUGUAGCCUCGUAGCUGUAGCAAAACAGGAAAGAUUGGUUAGAAUUGGACCCAGAACUAGACCAGGAUGGAGCCCAACUAGUCCCAGGUGCUGUUAUGGCAUCUACUGCGGUAGUGCCAUCAUUGGGCAUACUCACAUGCCUUAGUCCAUGCUCAGGGACAAAUGGAGCAAAGCAACUGGGACCUAGAGAUACAGUCAAAUAGAAUUAAGCUAGUCCAUUGGUGGAUAAAGGGUUCCUAGCCCCUGGGCUGAGUUUGAGGACCUUUUCUUAGCAGGAACUGCACUGCCAGGUAAUUUAGCAGAAUAGGGAAGCAAUGCAAGAAUCCAGCUACCAGAUCUGUGGGUCAAGGAACAUACUAUGACUUCUGAGCAAAACUAGUUUUGAUAUUUGAACAAAACUAGAGGGAAGAAGGCUGAGGCUUGGAGAUACUCUUUAGGAAUUCUGCCUGCCUGUGAUUCUCCUUAUAGAAUUCAGAGGAAUAAACAAUGCCCCACCCAGGACUGACAUAGAAUGCAGAGAGGGUAACCCAGGCAGCCCCAGGUACUCGCCUGGGUCCAAAGGCCAACCUUGGCCUUCAACACUGCAACAUUUCUUUACUAUACAAGUGGUAUCCUUCAUACUCACAUGUCAUGGUUUAUGCUAUCUAAAAAUUAGAAUUGACCUGUAGUCCCAGCUACUGGGGAGGCUGAGGUGGGAGGAUCCCUUGAGCCCAGGAAGUCAGGGCUGCAGUGAAUCAUGAUCAUGGCCUCACACUCCAGCUUGUGCAACAGAGUGAGACCCCCAUCUCAAAUAAAUAAAUAGGCCAGGUGUGGUGGCUCACGCCUGCAAUCCCAGCACUUUGGGAGGCUGAGGUGGGUGGAUCACAAGGUCAGGAGUUCGAGACCAGCCUGGCCAAUAUGGUGAAACCCCCGUCUCUACUAAAAAUACAAAAAAUUAGCCAGGCGUGGUGGUGGGUGCCUGUAGUCUCAGCUACUCGGGAGGCUGA